rnacentral:rRNA from 1 species
AUUGAACGCUUGCGGCCGGCCUAACACAUGCAAGUCGAGCGAGCGGCGGACGGGUGAGUAAUGUAUGGGGACUGCCCGAUAGAGGGGGAUCACUACUGGAAACGGUGGCUAAUACCCCAUACUAUCGGAUAACCCAUAUGGGAUUAGCUAGUAGGUGGGGUAAAGGCUCACCUAGUCGACGAUCUCUAGCUGUUGUGAGAGGAUGAUCAGCCACACUGGGACUGAGACACGGACCAGACUCCUACGGAGGCAGCAGUGGGGAAGAUUGCACAAUGGGCGCAAGCCUGAUGCAGCCAUGCCGCGUGUAUGAAGAAGGCCUUAGGGUUGUAAAGUACUUUCAGCGGGGAGGCGUUACCCGAAGAAGAAGCACCGGCUAACUCCGUGCCAGAAGCAGCGGUAAGUC